UACGUAGGGUGCGAGCGUUAAUCGGAAUUACUGGGCGUAAAGCGUGCGCAGGCGGCGCGUUAAGACAGGUGUGAAAGCCCCGAGCUUAACUUGGGAAUUGCGCUUGUGACUGGCGUGCUGGAGUGUGGCAGAGGGAGGUGGAAUUCCACGUGUAGCAGUGAAAUGCGUAGAGAUGUGGAGGAACACCGAUGGCGAAGGCGGCGAUCUGGGAAGAUACUGACGCUGAGGUGCGAAAGCGUGGGGAGCAAACAGG
rnacentral:rRNA from 1 species